CAGCUACCAUCAUCUGUGCUUGUUUAUCCUUCUGUUUCAGGAUCGGUAUUUUGCAUGGAUCUGCUUUUACCACAACAUCUCCAAAUUUCUCAAUGGCAGACAGAAAACCUUGCCAGGAGGGAUUAAUCUGGAACGACACGUUGAUUUGGUUCGCACCAUCACUUUUGAUUAUUGAUUGAAUGUACUCUUCAUCAACUACGACAUCUUUUUCUAUAUGUUUCAUAGCAAGAAAAGUUUGCAGUUCUGAUGCAUACUGUUUUAUAUUGGAACUGUUGGUUUGGUGUUCUGUUAUCUCGUGUUCUUUAUCAAUCAAUGACUUCAGUAUUCUUCGUAUUUUGUUACUUUCGUCUUCCUCCCUCCUUUUCAAUUCUUUCAAUAUGUCAUCCUGGAGUUUAUCAAGAUGUUGAUUAAUCUUAACACGAGUUUCUUGAACCUCUUUCUCAAUCUCUUUACACUUCUUACCAAGGGACGCCACAUUUUCUUCCCGAUUGGUCCUAACUCUUUUAACAUGUGCUAAAAUCUCUGACAAAGUGUGUUCUAUUUCUGAAAAUGCAUUUGAAGACUUGAUGUAUAGCGAUAUAUCAUCAAUAUCGGUUAAAUCUUUGCAAUCAGUGUGAGCUUCAACUAUACAUUUCUUGCAGCACGGACAAUCAUGCUUUUUACAGAAUAGUUGGUAUUUUUGAUUAUGCUUAUCACAUGACAGUGCUAAUUGUAAUACUUUGUUUGGAAGUUUCUGGUACUCGGUAAUAGAUACAGUGUCAUGAUUUCUUGAUCCUUUUGAAAUACUAUGAUGAUCUUUACAUUCUUCACAAAGUCCUUCGUCACAUUCUGAACACCAGAUAACUGAUGGUUUGGUAAUGUGACGAUAAUCACAGACCCCACACACACUCC
rnacentral:lncRNA from 1 species